GUAUAAACAAUUUCAUAAAUUUCCUUCCUAAUAUUACACUGGAGCAUGUGAAGAGGACGUAGAUCCAAGGAAAGCCCCACCAAAAGGGUCUCCCCCAUUCGCAAAGCAGUCCUAAUGAUCUACACAAGCGAUGCACAAAGAGAUGGAGAAAUGAGGGGACGACGAGCGUGCACGGCCAAGGGCCAGCGACAGCUCCAUCGCCUUUUCUUAUUUCGAUAAUGAUCCUUCCGCAGGUUCACCUACGGAAA
rnacentral:misc_RNA from 1 species